ensembl:snoRNA
AUCCUUUUGUAGUUCAUAAGCGUAAUGAUUGGGUUUUCACGCACGUGCGUGAGAUGUACUUCCCUCAAACAUUGUUACAACAUCUGCACAUUACCCGUCUGACA